UCAACUGAAAAUUUUCUCUGAUAUCCUAAACCUGCGAAUCUCUUCUCCAAUCUCUAAUCAAUCAAAAUACUCCAUUUUGAUAAGGUCAUGAUGGGUUGUGUUCUUAAGCUAAAAUUUUAGAGAUGGUUAUGAUCUUAAUCAACAAAGUUUAGUAAUUUGACAAGGAGUGAUAACUGUAAUCUACAAAUUGUUUGUUUUGAUUAAGGAGCUUUAUCAACAUGGAAAGAGCGAUUAUGCCCUUGAAGUGAUUGAGAAAAUUGCUAGAUAAAGAGUUUUGGGGUAUGAUACAGAUGGUUGGAUUCAACACCAUGGCACCAUAUUACAGUUCCAACCAAGAAGGGGAAAGCACCCACUGAAAUUUUAAUGUUUAUAAUAUAUUAAAACCAUCGCCCAGCUACUUUCCGCAAAAUGGGACCCCAGACACCCUAUAGCUUAGUUCGAGUUUUCAUUGGAUGAGGCGAGCUUGCUCAGCAUUAGAUGGAAACCGGUAAAGCCAGAAGAAUACUGGCAGAAGCUAGCUUCUUUCAUCGAUCCCAAUACACUUGCGGUUAGCUCCUGGAAUUGGUUUCAGAUUCAAAGGUCGGACCAUGGCUGCAUAUGUUAAAGACUGCUGAUGAAGUAUGAACAUUAACAGCUACAACUAAAGAUAAUUGCGCUCGAGAUAGUAUAUAUUCCAGAAUGAUUUCUUAUGAAUUUGAUCUCUACCUGUCAAACAUUAGCAUUUGUAUUAGACAAACACAUCAAUGACAACUAUAUCAUGGUCUAUAUUUCUGUUGACUGAAUUCCCAUGAAUAUUACCUACUAACAUUUGGAACAUCAUCUGAUGGAAUAUUCAAAUUGAAAGCAGGAUGUGGCGCAUUAUGAUUUCUCCUUUCA